UAGGGAAUCUUCCGCAAUGGACGCAAGUCUGACGGAGCAACGCCGCGUGAGUGAAGAAGGAUUUCGGUUCGUAAAACUCUGUUGUUAGAGAAGAACAGCGCAUAGAGUAACUGUUAUGCGUGUGACGGUAUCUAACCAGAAAGCCACGGCUAACUACGUGCCAGCAGCCGCGGUAAUACGUAGGUGGCAAGCGUUGUCCGGAUUUAUUGGGCGUAAAGCGAGCGCAGGCGGUCAAUUAAGUCUGAUGUGAAAGCCCCCGGCUCAACCGGGGAGGGUCAUUGGAAACUGGUUGACUUGAGUGCAGAAGAGGAGAGUGGAAUCCCAUGUGUAGCGGUGAAAUGCGUAGAUAUAUGGAGGAACACCAGUGGCGAAGGCGACUCUCUGGUCUGUAACUGACGCUGAGGCUCGAAAGCGUGGGUAGCAAACAGG
rnacentral:rRNA from 1 species